rnacentral:rRNA from 1 species
AAAUUGAAGAGUUUGAUCAUGGCUCAGAUUGAACGCUGGCGGCAGGCCUAACACAUGCAAGUCGAACGGUAACAGGAAGCAGCUUGCUGCUUCGCUGACGAGUGGCGGACGGGUGAGUAAUGUCUGGGAAACUGCCUGAUGGAGGGGGAUAACUACUGGAAACGGUAGCUAAUACCGCAUAAUGUCGCAAGACCAAAGAGGGGGACCUUAGGGCCUCUUGCCAUCGGAUGUGCCCAGGUGGGAUUAGCUUGUUGGUGGGGUAACGGCUCACCAAGGCGACGAUCC